rnacentral:rRNA from 1 species
UGAGGAAUAUUGGUCAAUGGACGCAAGUCUGAACCAGCCAUGCCGCGUGCAGGAUGACGGCUCUAUGAGUUGUAAACUGCUUUUGUACAAGGGUAAACUCAGGUACGUGUACCUGACUGAAAGUAUUGUACGAAUAAGGAUCGGCUAACUCCGUGCCAGCAGCCGCGGUAAUACGGAGGAUCCAAGCGUUAUCCGGAUUUAUUGGGUUUAAAGGGUGCGUAGGCGGUUUAGUAAGUUAGAGGUGAAAUUCUCGGGCUCAACCCGAGCACUGCCUCUAAAACUGUUAGACUAGAGAGUAGUUGCUGAUGGCGGAAUGUGUGGUGUAGCGGUGAAAUGCUUAGAUAUCACACAGAACACCGAUUGCGAAGGCAGCUGACAAAGCUAUAUCUGACGCUGAGGCACGAAAGCGUGGGGAGCAAACA